UACUAGAGUAGCACUCGCAUAUCAAUAAGCGGAGGAAAAGAAACUAACAAGGAUUCCCCUAGUAACGGCGAGUGAAGCGGGAAGAGCUCAAAUUUGAAAUCUUAAAGGGUUUCCCUUUACGAAUUGUAGUUUAAAGAAGUGUUUUCUGUUGAGGUUUUGGUAAAAGUUCUUUGGAAUAGGACAUCAUAGAGGGUGAGAAUCCCGUAUUUGACCUUUACUUUCAACUUUGUGAUACACUUUCAAAGAGUCGGAUUGUUUGGGAAUGCAGUCCAAAAUGGGUGGUAAAUUUCAUCUAAAGCUAAAUAUUGGCGAGAGACCGAUAGCGAACAAGUACCGUGAGGGAAAGAUGAAAAGAACUUUGAAAAGAGAGUUAAACAGUACGUGAAAUUGUCAAAAGGGAAGCGUUUGACACCAGUGUUGUUUUUCUGAAAAUCAAUUAAAGAACUGUUUAUGCUAAGUUGUUUAGACUUUAUCAGCUAACUGUUUAGUUUUGAGCUUUUCUUUAAUGCACUUUUCAGUUAACAAGUCAACAUCAAUUUCUUUUGCUGUAAAAAAGCUUGAGGAAGGUGGCUUGAGAUUCGUCUUAAGUGUUUAUAGCCUCUCGCCUAUGCAGUCGGAGAGAUUGAGGUCUGCAGCGUAGAUCCUUCGGGGCUAAAUGCAUUUGUGCUAAGUUAUAGCAUUUUAUAGACAACUUGUUGACUAUGAUUUGUCUUGUAGCUUACUCGCUUAUGUUAUUUUACCUACGCUUAGGAUGUUGAGUCAUCACACAUCUCU
rnacentral:rRNA from 1 species